rnacentral:rRNA from 1 species
GACGAACGCUGGCGGCGUGCUUAACACAUGCAAGUCGAACGGAAAGGCCCUGCUUUUGUGGGGUGCUCGAGUGGCGAACGGGUGAGUAAUACGUGAGUAACCUGCCCUUGACUUUGGGAUAACUUCAGGAAACUGGGGCUAAUACCGGAUAGGAGCUCCUGCUGCAUGGUGGGGGUUGGAAAGUUUCGGCGGUUGGGGAUGGACUCGCGGCUUAUCAGCUUGUUGGUGGGGUAGUGGCUUACCAAGGCUUUGACGGGUAGCCGGCCUGAGAGGGUGACCGGCCACAUUGGGACUGAGAUACGGCCCAGACUCCUACGGGAGGCAGCAGUGGGGAAUAUUGCACAAUGGGCGGAAGCCUGAUGCAGCAACGCCGCGUGCGGGAGGACGGCCUUCGGGUGGUAAACCGCUUUCGCCUGUGACGAAGCGUGAGUGACGGUAAUGGGUAAAGAAGCACCGGCUAACUACGU